GACUCGUUAGCUCAGUUGGUAGAGCAUUUGACUUUUAAUCAAAGGGUCACUGGUUCGAAGCCAGUACGGGUCA
rnacentral:tRNA from 1 species